rnacentral:rRNA from 1 species
AUGCCAACAAGAUAUUUCCGUGAUAUAGACGUGUUUUUCGUGCCGAUGUAUCGUGCUAUACAGGCCAGCUUGUGUGUCAACCUUGAUCUCACAUCUGGCAGUGGCUGUAGCUAUGCAUAUGGCGAAAUCACAGCGCACCAUGAGUUCUACGGCGACUUCAACGUCCUGCUUUUUCAGUGUGGAGAAGAUGAUAUGGCAGAGGUUGUUGAUGGCAGACUUCCAUUGUUGCGGACUUGGGCAGCUGUUCCGAUAUACUUAGAGCCGCUCUUGAUAAUCAAGCUGAACCUUAGUGUUUUUACUAAUUCUGACCAUGUUAAUGACGGUCAUGCCAUCUCCUUCCAAGGUGAUCUUACCUUCUACCAUGACCAGUAUGAAAAGACAAUCUGCAAUGCUGACCAUGGUACAGUUGAAGUGCAGAUUGGGUACCGUUAA